UACGGGGGGGGCAAGCGUUGUUCGGAAUUACUGGGCGUAAAGGGCGCGUAGGCGGCCUGCUAAGUCGGAUGUGAAAUCCCUCGGCUCAACCGAGGAACUGCAUCCGAUACUGGCGGGCUUGAAUCCGGGAGAGGGAUGUGGAAUUCCAGGUGUAGCGGUGAAAUGCGUAGAUAUCUGGAGGAACACCGGUGGCGAAGGCGGCAUCCUGGACCGGUAUUGACGCUGAGGCGCGAAAGCGUGGGGAGCGAACAGG
rnacentral:rRNA from 1 species